rnacentral:rRNA from 1 species
UCAAGCUACUAAGAGUGUACGGUGGAUGCCUUGGCAUCAGCAGGCGAUGAAGGGCGUGGUAAGCUGCGAUAAGCCUCGGGUAGUCGCACACAGACGCUAAUCCGAGGAUGCCCGAAUGGGGAAACCCGAUCCGAGUUAUGUCGGAUCAUCGCUGGGUGAAUACAUAGCCCAGACGAAGCUAACCGGGGGAACUGAAACAUCUCAGUACCUCGAGGAAAAGAAAGCAACCGCGAUUCCCUGAGUAGCGGCGAGCGAAAGGGGAUCAGCCCAAACCGAUGGCGUGUGAUAGCCCGUGUGCGUUGCGCCAUUGGGGUCGAGGGGUUCUGCCUGAUCCCGAUACGGCGGGGUCGAAGAGUUACAAAUCUCAUGCUUAAUUGAACGAUCUGGAAAGGUCGGCCAUAGAAGGUGAUAGCCCUGUAGAGUAAAAGUAUGAGACUCUUUGAGCAGGAUACCCAAGUACCACAGGACACGUGAAAUCCUGUGGGAAUUCGGGGGGACCGCCCUCCAAGGCUAAACACUCGCUGAUGACCGAUAGUGAACCAGUACCGUGAGGGAAAGGUGAAAAGCACCCCUGUGAGGGGAGUGAAAUAGUACCUGAAACCGUACACUUACAAGCAGUCGAAGGGCUAUGCUCGCCGCAAGGCGAGAAUGCCUGACGGCGUGCCUUUUGCUUAAUGAGCCGGCGAGUUACUUGUACGCAGCAAGGUUAAGCCGCGAGGCGGAGCCGUAGCGAAAGCGAGUCCGAACAGGGCGAUUGAGUUGCGUGCAGUAGACCCGAAGCCAGGUGAGCUACCCCUGGCCAGAGUGAAGUGCCGGUAACACGGCAUGGAAGCUCGAACUCAUCACGGUUGAAAACGUGUGGGAUGAGCUGGGGGUAGGAGUGAAAGGCCAAUCAAACCUGGAAAUAGCUGGUUCUCCCCGAAAUAGCUUUAGGGCUAGCCUCGCAACGUAAGUGGCGGAGGUAGAGCACUGGAUGAGCUAGGGCUCUCACAAGGGUACCAAACUCAACCAAACUCCGAAUGCCGUCAACUGGAAUUGCGGGAGUCAGACUGUGGGGGCUAAGCUCCAUGGUCGAGAGGGAAACAGCCCAGACCACCAGCUAAGGUCCUGGAAUGCAGGCUAAGUGGGAAAGGAUGUCAGAUUACUUAGACAACCAGGAGGUUGGCUUAGAGGCAGCCAUCCUUUAAAGAGUGCGUAACAGCUCACUGGUCAAGUGUUCUGGCGCCGAUAAUGUAACGGGGCUCAAGCCUGCUACCGACGCUGUGGGAUCUUGCUUACUUCGGUAAGUGGGAUCGGUAGGGGAGCAUUCUGCAGUCAGUGAAGCUGGACGGUGACGACCGGUGGAGAGUGCAGAAGCGAUUAUGCCGGCCUAAGUAACGAUAAACUAGGUGAAAAACCUAGUCGCCGUAAAUCUAAGGUUUCCUGGGGAAGGUUAAUCCGCCCAGGGUUAGUCGGUUCCUAAGCUGAGGCCUAAGGGCGUAAGCGAAGGGCAACAGGUUAAUAUUCCUGUACUACCGGGCGACGACAAAGACGCAAUGGGGGGACGCAGAAGGGUAGGCCAUGCCCGUGUUGGACGUCGGGCUCUAAGCUGGUAGGGGGUUUCGAUAGGCAAAUCCGUCGAGACGUUAACCCCGAGAGGCGAUGGGGAGGCCGUAAGGCCACAAACUGGCUCAGCCCACGCUGCCAAGAAAAGCCUCUAGCGAGUCGUUCGGUAACCGUACCGCAAACCGACUCAGGUAGACAGGGAGAGUAUCCCAAGGCGCUCGAGAGAACACUCGCUAAGGAACUCGGCAAAAUAGCCCCGUAACUUCGGGAAAAGGGGUACCAUACCAGCGUGAGCGGGUUCACCCUGCAGAGCGCUGGGAGGUCGCAGUGAAUUGGGCCAAGCGACUGUUUAAUAAAAACACAGGUCCGUGCUAAGCCGAAAGGCGAUGUAUACGGACUGACACCUGCCCGGUGCCGGACGGUUAACAGGAGGGGUCAUCUGCCGCAAGGUGGAGAAGCUCUGAAUCGAAGCCCCGGUAAACGGCGGCCGUAACUAUAACGGUCCUAAGGUAGCGAAAUUCCUUGUCGGGUAAGUUCCGACCUGCACGAAUGG